UUUCCAUGCUGAAAGCAGAGACAGUGAAUCAGAACAUUAUCUUGGGUAAGUAUGUCAUAGAAGAAACACAGGAACUGUUUACAGAGCCCCAUCCCCUUUUAUUUCUACAGAAAAAUCUAUUUACUACCAUUUUUAUGGCUUUUGGGUAGCUACAAUCAAAGUUCUAUGCUCUGCAUAUGCUGCAUCCCCUCAGCGCAGAGAUGGUCAAUUUUCCCCCACUCUGAACUCCCCACUAAAGAAUUUUUGGUGAGGUACAGCUGCUUUCAGAAACCUGCACUCAGAUUGCUGCAUACUUCAUACCAGCUUGCACUCUCCAGUUACUGCAUCCAAGUUCAUGCAAGCCCAGAUAUCACAGGCUGAAAGCUACCACAAAUACAGUCCAUUCCCAUGCUAGGGUUAAACUGGCAUCUCAGAUGGAUAGGCUGGCAAAGUUGGAAAUCUCCAACUUAAAAGGCAAACCUAUGCCUUGUUUUAGAUGGUAAGAGAAGGUGGCUCACAGAAUGAAAGGAGAAUUACUUUCUCAUUACAGCUGACAGGAGCACAACUACAGGAUGAUGCUUCAUGGGUAUAGAGGAAGUCACAGUUACUAAAAGCCAUUGCUUUAAUUGCAGCUGCAGGGGUUUGCUCAGUCUACCUGAACCCAUCUCUCCUAUCACCACAUCAAUGUACAGGUGUCACGGUGGCUCUAGAGAGUUUUCUCUGAAACUGUCUUUUUUCAGCAGAUCUGCACUGAGUGCAACUGCCUUGGAUUUAAGUAUUCUGCGUGUUCUCCACAUAACAAGUGCCAGGCAUUCUAGAAAAUUAGAUCUAAAAUAAGCCAAUCCCUUAAUUAGAAGUUUCAUUAAUUAAAUUAUAACGUAUUUCAACUCUCCAGAUAGUAUAAAGUUCCCUAAUAUACAUCUUUUGAGUUCUAGCUCCUGGCUUUGCUCAAAAUCAUUCUAAUUAGCCUGUUUUUAGAAAAGCAUCACAUUGGAAGCCAAGGAAUUUACAUUGCAUUAAAUCUUUUAGGCAUAGGCAUAUUUUAUAUGUGAAGAGUCCAGAGAUCACAAGAGCUCCUUGGGCACACCUCUGGAGAGGUGCUCUGUAUUUCCCAGAGGGAGAGAGAGGGAGUGGAUAAAGGGAGUGUUUCUGUACCCCUGUGGUAGAGCAGACACUGCUGGCAUCCUGCAUGCACAUGUAGCACAGCAGUCUUGCAUAUGGGGAGCUCUCUGUGCCCUAUCACUCACAACCAAAGACAGUUUUAUCUGCAAGUGGGAUGAAAGAAGAGCUCCCAAGAGUGCAUUCCCUGAGCUCUGACAGAAGCAGAUGCAUGACAUUCUCUGGAGACUGAGGACUCCUGCUGCCAGGGCAUGGAGGCCAGGAAAACACUGUGCAAUCAAAGCAGGCUCCUCUUCUUCCUGUCUACUGUUGAGCAAGGACAGUAAUGUUUUUGGCAUAUCAGCACCAGUUCGGUUCAAAGGGCACUGUACUCGCAUAUGUCCCCAUCAGUGGCAUGGUGUCAGGGGUCAUCCAGCAAAUAAGCAAGGAAAAAGCUACUCCAAGAAAUAAAGCCAAUGCAGAAAGGUGGCUUGUACCAGAACUUGUACUGGUUCAGAGCCAAAUUCUCAUAACAAGUCUUGAACUCUAUCAGUGUUACUGUAAUAUGAGGGCACUCUCUCGCUCAAAGACUUGUAGGUGCCUAAAGUCAUAGGCAAUAAGUGAUUUUUUGGGUCUGCCCUUGGAAUACAAAUAAGUUGAAAAAAUAUUCCAGUGGCUGAGGUGCUCUUUAAAGUGGAUGAGAUUCAUUCUGGCUUGACCCCUAUGAGAACUGCAGCUCUUUGGCAAGUGUAGGCGUGAUUCUAAAUGGAAAGGCUUAACUACAAUGCAGCAUCUUACCUCAGCCUCCCAAAACAUACCAACCAUGCACCCUACCCUCAGAGCCCCAGGCCUCAUAUAAGGCUAGGGCAAAACAAGACAAUCCUAGUCCAUAAAGCUUCACUUCUCAUCAGGACAGUUUUGUGCAGGGAAGUUACUUAUUAAAGAUGUGAAAGGGUGAGAUUUUGCUCAUAAUAAACAUCAAAUCCAUCAACUCAGUCAUACAGAAAAUCAAGAAAAGUGGUAAAAGUGUAAAAGGGGAAACUCAAUCUUGCAGUAAUUUAGCAGAAUUUGUAAAUACUGGGUUUGAUACUCUGUCCUUUCAAAAGCACUUCCCCAGCAACUUUGCUUUGGUACUUCUUCCAGCCACUGCCAUUUCUGCCUCUAUCUUUCCAGGCAGAACAUCAUCUCAGGGUUUAAGUAUCCACCUGAAUGGAUCUGGAAUGUCAGAUGACCCGGAGUGCUAAAGGACAAACUCUCCACCACUGCAGUUGGUGAAGCUUCAUCUCCCCUGGCAAUGAGUCUGGCUGCAGGCAAGGUGCUUUGGACAGAGGUCUUCAUGUGACUGGCACCAUCCCACACCCAUCUUAUCCUCUCAAGUAACCUUCUCUCUGCUGAAAUUCAUGCCAAGACAACUCAACAUCCAUAAUUUUGAAUAUUACAAUAUGCCACAUCCACAACAGAGCUUUUUAGUCAGCCCUACCACAAAAUUAUGAUAUAUAUAUAGCUGAAGUCUACCUGCUCCGUAAUGGGUUCAGUGAACCUUAAACAACACACAUACAAAAAAACCCAAACCAAAACCAUUAAACAAGGCCAAACCAUUAACAAGAAAUACAGCUAAAGGGGCAUUCAGCUUCAAGUAAAACUUUGGGUCUGAAAGGAGGGUUGUAUAGUCUCUACAUAGCUACAUAUUCCUAACUAUGUAUUUAUUUAUCUAUCCUUCUUCAGAAAGUAGAGUAAGAAAAUCCAGCAGCAAAUAAUGGAGUAAUUAUGGAAGUCCUGCACAUAAGGGAAUGUUCCAUAGUAUGUUUUUUAUGACACAUCAUCCUUCUAAGUUGAGUGUUUUGUGCCUGUGCUUCUCUGACAUUGCAAGUUUACAUUCUGUAGGUCUGUUUAGAGACCUUUUGGCCUUUAGAUCUUAGCUUAAAAGUUUGCACUCCAAGAAGCACCAAGCUCAGGUUCCACAUUAGAAGUGUCAUCAGUUAAUUUUAUAGUUUACACUAUGAUCACAUGAUCUCACACCUUACUUUUUUAUUCCUAUAAAUAAAAUAUUAGCCAUACACCCUACUUUCUUUCCUGCAGAAAUUUAGGGAUACAUCAGUACCUACUGUAUGCAACUUAGGGCAAGCUAGAGACAAAAGCACAAAACAUUUCCAAAAGACAUGUUGUAGAAAUUUACAGAAUUCUCUUUUAUGUGACCAGAAAGUCUUACCGUCAUACUUUACUCCAACCACAAAUGACAGCCUCCGACUUCCACAAAAAUGUGUAUAAAUUAAUCUCUAGCAAUAAAAUGAACAGUGGGAAGGGGUGAACCACAGAUUUCUCAAAGACUCAUCCUUAUCACUAUCGUGGUGAGCAUCCCUACAUGUCAUGAGAGAAACCGGGAUGCAUUUCCCUAACAAGUAGCCACAGUGCCCACAGUGGGACUCGGCAGACCUGCUGGGACAGUCUUUCCACAGCUGAGAUGUAACACUGAUGAGGAGGGGAAAGAUAGAUUUUCCUUGAAGUGCCACAGGUGGCAGGCCAGUACACAGUUGGACCAUUGGAGUCUGUCAUGGUCAGGGGCCAAUGUCUACGAGCUCUGUACAAUCUGCUGCCAUAUGGACCAUGGGCACUGGAUAUCACUGAGAUUUUUGGAGGCCUAGUUGUUGGCCAGGUCACUGUAGUCCACGUCUACCACCACUCCCUCAGAUACUGGAUACCUUCUGUGGUAGUUUACUUGCCUUGCUGGUUUGCAGUAUCUUCUUUGAGGAGACACUUUGCAUUCAUGCUCAGUAAGAGCCAUCUCCAGAGACUUAUGAGUGGCUGCCUCUGUUCUGAUCCCUUUGGCAAUCCCUUAGUCCCUAGAGAUGGACCCCAGCAGCUGAGCUUCCCUACCUUCCCAGCACUGGAGCAGUCAGGUAGCAGUGUGCUCACCUUGCUGAUGGAUGAACACUUGCUGCCUACCUAAGAGGUCAUUCAGAGAUGGACGCCAGGUAGUUUUGCCUCUGUUGUCAUUCUUGUCUUUUCCCUUUCCUGUCCUCUUUUGAAUCUUCCCCCUUUUGCCCCUCAGCAAGAGCUGCUGUUUCUCUUUCUAACCAAAUCAACAUUUACUUCCAUCAUUUCUCCUGGAGCUCGGGCACAGUUAUUUGUAUUUGAGGGCUGGGUCUCUGGUUAAGCAACAGUGUGGCACCUCCAACUAAGUAACCUUUUCAGUGUCCAUAUGGGUGGCUUCAGAGCAGGAGACCUUCUCAGUGUCCCUUUGUGUGCUCCUUGAUCAGGAAACCCUCAUCCUCUUUUGAGGCACUGGAUGGCAGCUCAUUAGCAAGGGCCAGGCCCAAUACAACAUUAAAAACCCCUGUGUUUCAUCAGGGCAGGCAAAGCUCCCCUCCUUCAGAUGGUGUAUGAAUUACUUGGGACUACAUUCCGGCUAGGGCAUGAAAUCCCAAACUACUGGAGGCAGUAAUGGCCCCAGGCACAUGUCCAAUUCUGUCCACACACAAUACUACCUGAGAAUUGACUGCCUCCGGGUGAAUCCCAGUGUGGCAUUCCCAAUUAAUUGUUAAUUGUUAUUCACAAUAAUCAAAACCAUGCUCACAACACACACUAGUAUGAACAGUGUGAUUAUAUGAGGAUAUUCAAGGAACCAAGUAGUGUUACAAGAAGGUGGGAGAGACCUGUCCUGGGGGAGAAGAAGGGGUAGACGCUAUUCAUUCCUUUCUCAACAAAGCGCCUCUCCAAGGAGGGAAAGGAAAAGGUGCAAUUUUUGAUUUUCUCCAUGAGAUGGUUACCUGAGUACGCAGACAGUGGCACUGUAGGGCCUAAAACACAAGACCAGGCACAAGCCAGUGCUUUUAUCAUCACUCCACCAGGCAAAGCAGUACAAAGUGAUAGACAACACAGCAAAAGCAGAGAUGGUCAUUAACAAUUAUAGGAGGUUUUUUACAGCAAAACAGGAUUAAGCAUGGCAGCACCAAAGUAAAUAUGGCACACGUCAGUUUUGGAUAUGGUCUACAGUGAACUGAUCUGAUGCACAGCAAACUGGCCAACAACUAACCAGGCCUCCAAAGACCACUGACACCAACCAGGGCCAAAGAAUCCUGGUUAAGGUGAGGAAGAUAGGUGUAGCUGUCCGUGGAUGGGCUCAAACCACCAUCCUUUCAGCUAACAGCUGAACACUCUCACUGAUGGCAUCACAGAGACCCGUGACCUUGUCAUUCAGUCUUGCUGUGUUGCUCACCUCUGCUCAGCUGUGUCCCCUCCCAGCUCCCUGAGCAACCCAGUCAAUUCACCUGGGGGCACAGAGUGUGAAACAGAGAAGGCCUUGAUGCUGCGCAAGCAUUGCUCAGCAACAGCUUUAACACUGGUGUCUUACCAGCACUGUUUUGGUCACAGAUUUAAACACAGAUUUAAACCCACACGGUGGGUUGCUUUAAGGAAAAUCUAACUUUUUUCCAGCCAAAUUUUUUUCCCAGCCCAGUUCUGCAUUGGGCUUGCCUCUGAAGCCAAUACCAAUGAGACGUUUCUGUCAUUCAUUACACUUGAAUCAUAACAUUUGAACAAUAUUGAACCCAAACAUUUUCUGAGUAUACAGCAUUGUACUAUCCUUAUCUUGCUCAAACAGUAUUAGCACAGCAUGUACCAGUGACUAAUACAUAUGUACACACACAAAAAUACUAGAGAGGAAUUGCCUCUUCCUUCCUCUUUUUUUGUACCCUGGUAUCAUAAGGAAAAAAAAAAUUUCAAACAAAACCCACAUAAUCUCUGCUUUAUCAAUCAAGCUGUGUAAAUUCCCAGUUUUUCUUACGUGAUUUAAGGAGUUUAUGUCAUGAUUGGCAUCCAAAAGGCUUUUUACUACCGGUAGAUUAUUACUGAUAACUGCUAAAUGGAGAGGGGAAUUCUUCUGCUGUGGAGGGAAAAUAAUAAAUUGUUAUACUUGGGUAUGUUAUUAAAAGUUCAUGCAAACCAGAAAGAGGUUCUUAUUGAAGCCCACCCCUUGCAAAGGUGACAUGCUCCAGCAGAGGUUCAAGACUGCAGAAAACACACCUGGAUAUGUGGAGUUGUACCAGAGGUGGUAGCCUGCUCCUGCAACACCCACAAGAAGAGGAUAAACAAAUACAGCUGAGAAGACUGGAAAUGCUGACUGCAUUGGGUGUGCAUCAGUGUGCCACCACUUAGGAAUGCCACAAGGCAGUCCUCUUUAGUGUUCCUACCUGAGAUAUGCUGCUAUCCUGACAACAGAGAGAUUAGGGUAAUGUUCCUACCCCCCC